rnacentral:rRNA from 1 species
GCGCCAGAAGGGUGAAGGGGUUGCAAUAAACUGGUGGCUGCGACUGUUUAAUAAAAACACAGCACUCUGCAAACACGAAAGUGGACGUAUAGGGUGUGACGCCUGCCCGGUGCCGGAAGAUUAAAUGAUGGGGUGCAAGCUCUUGAUUGAAGUCCCGGUAAACGGCGGCCGUAACUAUAACGGUCCUAAGGUAGCGAAAUUCCUUGUCGGGUAAGUUCCGACCUGCACGAAUGGCGUAACGAUGGCCACACUGUCUCCUCCCGAGACUCAGCGAAGUUGAAGUGUUUGUGAUGAUGCAAUCUACCCGCGGCUAGACGGAAAGACCCCAUGAACCUUUACUGUAGCUUUGCAUUGGACUUUGAACCGAUCUGUGUAGGAUAGGUGGGAGGCUAUGAAACCGGAACGCUAGUUUCGGUGGAGCCGUCCUUGAAAUACCACCCUGGUUUGUUUGAGGUUCUAACCUUGGCCCGUGAUCCGGGUCGGGGACAGUGCAUGGUAGGCAGUUUGACUGGGGCGGUCUCCUCCCAAAGCGUAACGGAGGAGUACGAAGGUACGCUAGGUACGGUCGGAAAUCGUGCUGAUAGUGCAAUGGCAUAAGCGUGCUUAACUGCGAGACCGACA